rnacentral:rRNA from 1 species
AAUAGAUACCCGGGUAGUCCACGCCCUAAACGAUGCUCACUAGGUGUUGGGGAAGCGAUUCCUUGGUACCGUAGCUAACGCGUGAAGUGAGCCGCCUGGGGAGUACGGCCGCAAGGUUAAAACCCAAAGGAAUUGACGGGGGCCCGCACAAGCGGUGGAGCAUGUGGUUUAAUUCGAGGCAACGCGAAGAACCUUACCAGCUCUUGACGUCCCAGGAACCCUAGCAGAGAUGCAUGGGGGUGCCGCAAGGAACCUGGAGACAGGUGCUGCAUGGCUGUCGUCAGCUCGUGUCGUGAGAUGUUGGGUUAAGUCCCGCAACGAGCGCAACCCUCGGCCUUAGUUGCCAUCAUUAAGUUGGGCACUCUAGGGCGACUGCCGGUGAUAAGCCGGAGGAAGGUGGGGACGACGUCAAGUCAUCAUGGCCCUUACGGGCUGGGCUACACACGUGCUACAAUGGCGGUGACAGUGGGCAGCUACACAGCGAUGUGAUGCUAAUCUCAAAAAGCCGCCUCAGUU